rnacentral:rRNA from 1 species
AGAGUUUGAUCCUGGCUCAGAACGAACGCUGGCGGCGUGCCUAACACAUGCAAGUCGAGCGCGAAAAGGGCAACCUGAGUAGAGCGGCGCACGGGUGAGUAACACGUGGAUAAUCUGCCUCAAAGCCUGGAAUAACCUUCCGAAAGGUUGGCUAAUGCCGGAUAAGCUCACGGGAACUUCGGUUCUUGUGGGAAAAGGUGGCCUCUGUUUACAAGCUAUCACUUUGAGAUGAGUCCGCGGCCCAUCAGGUAGUUGGCGGGGUAAUGGCCCACCAAGCCUACGACGGGUAGCUGGUCUGAGAGGACGAUCAGCCACACUGGAACUGAGACACGGUCCAGACUCCUACGGGAGGCAGCAGUGGGGAAUUUUGCACAAUGGGCGCAAGCCUGAUGCAGCAACGCCGCGUGUGUGAUGAAGGUCUUCGGAUCGUAAAGCACUUUCGACCGGGACGAAACAGCGACACCCAACACGUGUCGCCCUGACGGUACCGGGAGAAGAAGCACCGGCUAACUCUGUGCCAGCAGCCGCGGUAAUACAGAGGGUGCAAGCGUUGUUCGGAAUUAUUGGGCGUAAAGCGCGUGUAGGCGGCUUUGCAAGUCGGGUGUGAAAGCCCUCAGCUCAACUGAGGAAGUGCGCCCGAAACUGCAGAGCUUGAGUACCGGAGAGGAUGGCGGAAUUCCCCAAGUAGAGGUGAAAUUCGUAGAUAUGGGGAGGAACACCGGUGGCGAAGGCGGCCAUCUGGACGGUCACUGACGCUGAGACGCGAAAGCGUGGGUAGCAAACAGGAUUAGAUACCCUGGUAGUCCACGCUGUAAACGAUGAAUGCCAGCCGUUGGGUGACUUGUCACUCAGUGGCGCAGCUAACGCUUUAAGCAUUCCGCCUGGGGAGUACGGUCGCAAGAUUAAAACUCAAAGGGAUUGAUGG